AUUGAACGCUGGCGGCAUGCCUAACACAUGCAAGUCGAACGAGUGGCGUACGGGUGAGUAAUAUAUCUGAACGUGCCUUGUAGCUGGGGAUAACUACUGGAACCUGUUGCUACUACCGCAUACUAUAGGAUCGGCCGAAUUGGGAUUAGCUUGUUUGUGGGGCAAAGGCGCCCCAAGGCUACGAUCCGUAGCUGGUGUGAGAGGAUGACCAGUAACACUGGGACUAAGACACGGCCCAGAAUCCGACGGUAGGCAGCAGUGGGGAAUAUUGGACAAUGGGCGAAACCCUGAUCCAGCCAGGCCGCGUGUGUGAAGAAGGCCUUCGGGUUGUAAAGUACUUUAAGCAGAGAAGCGGUAUCUGCAGAAUAAGCACCGGCUAACUCCGUGCCAGCAGCCGCGGUAAUAC
rnacentral:rRNA from 1 species